rnacentral:rRNA from 1 species
AGAGCAGGCACCUCAACACAUGGCUAGUCGAGCGGAACGAUGGAGCUUGCUCCAGGCGUCGAGCGGCGGACGGGUGAGUAAUGCAUAGGAAUCUGCCCGGUAGUGGGGGAUAACCUGGGGAAACCCAGGCUAAUACCGCAUACGUCCUACGGGAGAAAGCAGGGGAUCUUCGGACCUUGCGCUAUCGGAUGAGCCUAUGUCGGAUUAGCUUGUUGGUGAGGUAAUGGCUCACCAAGGCGACGAUCCGUAGCUGGUCUGAGAGGAUGAUCAGCCACAUCGGGACUGAGACACGGCCCGAACUCCUACGGGAGGCAGCAGUGGGGAAUAUUGGACAAUGGGCGAAAGCCUGAUCCAGCCAUGCCGCGUGUGUGAAGAAGGCUUUCGGGUUGUAAAGCACUUUCAGUGAGGAAGAAGGCCUUGGGGCUAAUACCCCCGAGGAAGGACAUCACUCACAGAAGAAGCACCGGCUAACUCCGUGCCAGCAGCCGCGGUAAUACGGAGGGUGCGAGCGUUAAUCGGAAUUACUGGGCGUAAAGCGCGCGUAGGCGGCGUGAUAAGCCGGUUGUGAAAGCCCCGGGCUCAACCUGGGAACGGCAUCCGGAACUGUCAGGCUAGAGUGCAGGAGAGGAAGGUAGAAUUCCCGGUGUAGCGGUGAAAUGC